rnacentral:rRNA from 1 species
GAUGAACGCUGGCGGCGUGCCUAACACAUGCAAGUCGAGCGAGAUGUAUAUGGACGAAACUUCGGUCUAGGAAAUAUAUUGACAGCGGCGGACGGGUGAGUAACGCGUAGGCAACCUGCCCUUAACACAGGGAUAGCCUCGGGAAACCGGGAUUAAAACCUGAUAAUGCCAAAUAGUCACAUGGCUGUUUGGCCAAAGAUUUAUCGGUUAAGGAUGGGCCUGCGUCUGAUUAGUUUGUUGGUGGGGUAACGGCCUACCAAGACUACGAUCAGUAGCCGACCUGAGAGGGUGAUCGGCCACAUUGGAACUGAGACACGGUCCAAACUCCUACGGGAGGCAGCAGUGGGGAAUAUUGCACAAUGGGCGAAAGCCUGAUGCAGCAACGCCGCGUGAGCGAUGAAGGCCUUUGGGUCGUAAAGCUCUGUCCUUGGGGAAGAAACAAAUGACGGUACCCAAGGAGGAAGCCCCGGCUAACUACGUG